UGCAUGGCUGUCGUCAGCUCGUGCUGUGAAGUGUUGGGUUAAGUCCCGCAACGAGCGCAACCCCUGCUGCCUGUUGCCACCACGAGAGGUGGGGACGUCAGGCGGGACCGCCGGUGACAAACCGGAGGAAGUGGGGACGACGUCAAGUCAUCAUGGCCCUUAUGUCCUGGGCUACACACGUGCUACAAUGGCCGGUACAGAGCGCAGCGAGGCCGCGAGGCGGAGCGAAUCGCUUAAAGCCGGUCCCAGUACGGAUUGGAGUCUGCAACCCGACUCCAUGAAGUUGGAAUCGCUAGUAAUCGCGCAUCAGCAUGGCGCGGUGAAUACGUUCCCGGGCCUU
rnacentral:rRNA from 1 species